rnacentral:rRNA from 1 species
GAUGAACGCUAGCUACAGGCUUAACACAUGCAAGUCGAGGGGCAGCAUGAACUUAGCUUGCUAAGUUUGAUGGCGACCGGCGCACGGGUGAGUAACACGUAUCCAACCUGCCGAUGACUCGGGGAUAGCCUUUCGAAAGAAAGAUUAAUACCCGAUGGCAUAGUUCUUCCGCAUGGUAGAACUAUUAAAGAAUUUCGGUCAUCGAUGGGGAUGCGUUCCAUUAGGUUGUUGGCGGGGUAACGGCCCACCAAGCCUUCGAUGGAUAGGGGUUCUGAGAGGAAGGUCCCCCCACAUUGGAACUGAGACACGGUCCAAACUCCUACGGGAGGCAGCAGUGAGGAAUAUUGGUCAAUGGACGAGAGUCUGAACCAGCCAAGUAGCGUGAAGGAUGACUGCCCUAUGGGUUGUAAACUUCUUUUAUACGGGAAUAAAGUGAGGCAUGUGUGCCUUUUUGUAUGUACCGUAUGAAUAGGAUCGGCUAACUCCGUGCCAGCAGCCG